CCAUCAUUUAUCCGUUUAUGCCCCUGUUAAUACCACCACACAAGAAGCUACCACCGAUGAUCACACGAGUCUUACGUGAACCGGGUGUGUUUUGGGGGUCAUUACCGUCCUGCCAAAAAUGGCCAGGGGGAUCUGAUGCUAUGGGAGAGACACGGCAACAAGUACAGGUGCAUCACUAAGUUCUUGUCUGGUUCGCAAUUUCACCGGUUCAUGUUUCAGAGGGAAUGUAGGGGAAAAUGUAAGGGAAAACGGUUUUAGUGACGUGGCAACAAAGACUGGAAGUCUGGAACGCCCACAACAGAACUGCAGAGUCUCGCAAAGUCAGGCUGCACUCCUCCACCAAACCCUGUAAUCUUAUCUACUAAAAUUUAUAACAUCAGCGUCACGAUAAUUUCGGAGAACUCCUAAAAUAAGGGAAAAGGAGAGGUUAGGUAAAAGCUGAGGAACUUAUAAUAAUUAGCUAUUUUCAUGGUUUUACACGAAACACAAGAGUUCAGGUAAGAACCUAAGACCUUAAGCCAACACCUUAACAUAAAGAAAACCUUCAACAGGCCUUCAGACUGCACUCUUCUACAAAACACUGUGGGUACUAAUCUUACUAUAUACAUUGAAAUUUGUAACAUCAGCAUCUGGGAAACUUGUUAAACUUCUAAAAUAAAGGUAGUACUUCAUAAACAGUGCUUACAGUUCACGUUAUAGAGCAAAGGAAACUUACUUGAUUACAAACCAAGAGCAGCAUGUACUUCAAGUUACUAGAGGUGGGAUGUCGACAACAGGGAUAUAAGAACAAAUAGGCAACGUUAGGUGUUUCUAAAGGAGAGAUAAGUUUAAAAGGAGCACCAUUGAAACACUUGAGAGAGAAACAGAAUAUUAAGUAAGGAAAAUAAGCUGUUUUUGAAAGUGAGAGAACUAUAAAAAACACAAGCUAUAUCUGAUUGGGAGAAGAUGUA